UCCUUUGACGUUAGCGGCGGACGCGGUGAGUAACACGUGGGUAACCUACCUAUAAGACUGGAAUAACUCCGGGAAACCGGGGCUAAUGCCGGAUAACAUUUAGAACCGCAUGGUUCUAAAGUGAAAGAUGGUUUUGCUAUCACUUAUAGAUGGACCCGCGCCGUAUUAGCUAGUUGGUAAGGUAAUGGCUUACCAAGGCAACGAUACGUAGCCGACCUGAGAGGGUGAUCGGCCACACUGGAACUGAGACACGGUCCAGACUCCUACGGGAGG
rnacentral:rRNA from 1 species